CUGGCUCACUGCCCCAGACAUGCUGCGGGCCCCAGCGCUGCUGCUGGUUCUCCUGGCUCCUGUCACUCAGGUAUCUUCCAACUUGAAAGUGGACAAGACGUCAGUCACUAGUAAGACUGGGGAGACUGCUUCAUUCACUUGUGAGCUUACACAACAUGCCAGCUAUCUCCACUUGUACAAACACCAAGAGGGGACGGCCCCACAACGUCUUCUCUACUAUGACCGCUACUACUCAAAGAAAGUGUUUGAAUCAGGAGUCAGUGAAGAGAAAUACCAUGUGUAUCCAGGCACUGGGAGCAGCUAUACAUUUGCAAUCCUAAAUCUGGAAGUUAGGGAUUCUGGCGUGUACUACUGUGCUGUCUGGGAUGAGCACGGUGGUUCAGACUUCCUGUACACUGCACGGGAAAUUGUGCUUGUGGCUCCAAAACAGCCCUGGUUUAAGGAUGUAUUAAAAGUUCACACUGAAGUACAGAAAUGCCAGAGUCAUGUGUGUAUGGUCUCUGGUGUAUUGGAUCCUCCAACUUUCCACCAGAGUCUGAGCUUGUGGAACACUGUCUCUCAAACUGUGGUCCAUGGACCACCUGCAUCCGAAGCACCUGCACUGGCCUGA